AGAGUUUGAUCAUGGCUCAGAAUCAACGCUGGCGGCGUGCCUAACACNNGCAAGUCGAACGAGAAAGUGGAGCAAUCCAUGAGUAAAGUGGCGCACGGGUGAGUAACACGUGACUAACCUACCCUUGAGUGGGGGAUAACCUAGGGAAACCUGGGCUAAUACCGCAUAAUACCUACGGGUCAAAGGAGCAAUUCGCUUAAGGAGGGGGUCGCGGCCGAUUAGUUAGUUGGCGGGGUAAUGGCCCACCAAGACAGUGAUCGGUAUCCGGCCUGAGAGGGCGCACGGACACACUGGAACUGAAACACGGUCCAGACUCCUACGGGAGGCAGCAGUGGGGAAUUUUGCGCAAUGGGGGAAACCCUGACGCAGCAACGCCGCGUGGAGGAUGAAGUCUCUUGGGACGUAAACUCCUUUCGAUCGGGACGAUAAUGACGGUACCGAGAGAAGAAGCCCCGGCUAACUUCGUGCCAGCAGCCGCGGUAAUACGAGGGGGGCGAGCGUUGUUCGGAAUUAUUGGGCGUAAAGGGUGCGUAGGCGGUUCGGUAAGUCUUGUGUGAAAUCUUCGGGCUCAACUCGAAGUCUGCACUAGAAACUGCCGGGGCUUGAGUGUGGGAGAGGUGAGUGGAAUUUUCCGGUGUAGCGGUGAAAUGCGUAGAUAUCGGAAGGAACACCUGUGGCGAAAGCGGCUCACUGGACCACAACUGACGCUGAGGCACGAAAGCUAGGGGAGCAAACAGGAUUAGAUACCCUAGUAGUCC
rnacentral:rRNA from 1 species